rnacentral:lncRNA from 1 species
GUGCCCAAUUAUGUCUGCUAAUACGUGGAUAGUGAUGAUUUAAUCUUUGAACUAUAUGAGCGGAUUCAGGUACAGUUAGGGGAGCUGCAGUAAUUACAGAGGACCCAAACACACAAGCUGGACGGAUCUAACAACGCAGUCUGGGCUCCGUGCCAAAGGCUGGUAUUUCACAGCAGCGACCGCCUUACAGAUGAGCUGUGGGAAGCAGGAGGGAGACUCUCUUAGGGUGCCACUACUAUGGAGACACAGCUGGGCUGAACAAGAUUUGCUUCAAACGACAACAAGAGAGACAGAAAGAGUCUGGUUCGACCGCUGCCCAAGCAGGCAGUAACCAGAAGAGCUAGCAGCCAAUCCGGCCAUGCUGCACUGUUCGAAACCAGCUCUACAUCCCAGCCAAUCAGUGACAUCACUGGACUGGAAAGAAACAUUUUCCACAGAUGCCAGCUUCUGUCUGCUGUGAUGCUCCACUCUGAGUGAUGCCAUGUUCACCACUGAGCAGUACUGGCAAAGGAGAGCAGCUUCUCAGAAUGAGUCUGCAGUCGCACGGCUGGUGGUGUGGCACAGACGGAGCAAGGGUUACAUCAAGGCUGUUCUCUGGACCGUGCAAACAGUCUAGACCAAUGACCUGCAGCAUCGUGCCCUUUGAAGAAGAGGCAAGUUCAGUCACGACGAAGAAAAAUCAAGGCGUACCCCUUUUAACAAUAGGGAGCAGCUCGUGGCUGCAAAGAGGUGUGCAGCUGCCAUUCCAGGUGUGCAGCUGCCAUUCCACCUCACAGCAGGGCUGUGUUUGCUGCUCCACAAGCUGCAGAAAAGGCAGAGAGAGAAAGGAACACAGAAAGACACCAAAGCUGAGAUCUUCAAAGUACCCAAACUCCAUCAGGAAAGUUUUUGGUACCUUGCUGGUCUGUGGAUCUGUGGAGUGA